AAAUUGAAGAGUUUGAUCAUGGCUCAGAUUGAACGCUGGCGGCAGGCCUAACACAUGCAAGUCGAACGGUAACAGGAAACAGCUUGCUGUUUCGCUGACGAGUGGCGGACGGGUGAGUAAUGUCUGGGAAGCUGCCUGAUGGAGGGGGAUAACUACUGGAAACGGUAGCUAAUACCGCAUAACGUCGCAAGA
rnacentral:rRNA from 1 species